rnacentral:lncRNA from 1 species
ACACAAGAAAACUAGAACAAGUGCAAUCAAACAAUUGUACACUACAAAACUAGUCACAUUCUGUUCACUAAGUUUUUAUCCAAUAAAAAGUAAAAAGUAAAAAUAAAAAAUAUAUUUUUUAAAAAUUAAUUUCUUUAUCUUUUCAAUGGUAUAAGAAACAUGUAAAUCCAAGAUACUUUGAGUAAGUUAUGAAGGUUUAAAAAAUAAGAAGUAAAUAAAUAAAAAUUUAAGUAAAUAAUUUUUACCUUAAAGAUAACGUGCUUAAAAAAUCAAGAGUUCAAGCCUCACCAAGACUCACAAGUAGUGUAUAUGGGUUCCUAAGAGAGGUCACAAGGCUUUAGUCUUAUCUUUUUAACUCUUUAAUAUUGAAUCUC